GUGUGGCACCCUUGCGUCAGUUGCUCUCAAAAACGAAGCAAACAGAUCGCCGGAGCUGGGCUAAGUGGGGCAGUCGCAGAGCGGGCAGAGGGAAGCGGGCAAAGCAAACUGGUUUACCUGAUUCCGAAUCCCAACUCGAAUCGAAGUCAAGUCGCAGUCGACGCCGCUGUCAACGGCUUCGUUGUUGGGCCGAGCUGGGAUAUGGACGGUUAUAUAAUCGCAACGGAGCGAGCGUAUAAUGGUUACGUUUUGCUAAAGCCAAUUAAACGAUUUGUUUUCGUUCCACAAAUUCACUUGGCCUGUGCGGCACAUUUGUGUGGCUCUGAAAAAUGUGUUUUUGUCCCGUUUGCCAUUUGUUGUUCGCCUCACUUGCCUUUUUGCGCUGCACCAAAUUCUAACACCUCGAUGUCAGCUUCCUGCACACUUCCGCAUCCCGGACAAAUUUUUUUCACACAUUUAUUUGCCCACCUGCCACACACAGAAGGGGCCAGAGUAAUAAAAAAACCAAACCAAAAUUUUGUUUGUUUACUGCUUUUUGUGUCACGCGCUGGCCUGCAGCCCCCGAAAAUAAAUUAAAUAAAUUAUUCAAUUGAAUUUAUUUAUUACCGACCAAUUUGGCCGCUCAACAGACUUUUGCAUUUGUGUAAUUAACGGCAGUUCGUGGAGAAUUGUGGAAUAUUGCGGACUAUUGCCCAGAUUGCAAAGGGUCUUUCGGCCAGGUCGCAAUAUUGCGAUCCGGUUCCAUCUGCCCAUCUGGCCAUCUGCCCACUCAGCCAAACAUCCUGGCCCAUCGUGGCCCUCGAGCGACGUCCGUUUGUUUGGCUUUUACUUUCGCGGCAUGUCAAUGACAUUGGCUUGGGCUCUUGAACCCAUUCAGCCGUCCAGGAGAACUCGAUGACCAAUGAAAAGGACUGAAAAAAACGUAUAGUGCACUUUAGGUGAUUUAAUGGGAAAAUUGCAUCUAAGAAUUCACCUGAACAUCAAACAUUUCGGAAUUUCUUCGAGUGCAACCUGCGUGUUGGCUGAACACAAAAGUAAUGGGCUCCUGAGGGCCUAACCUUGACCGAUGUGAUUACUUGAGAUUAUCGCAAGAGUAAACUGAUACUCCAAAAUGUGAAAGAAAUCCAGGCUCUUAAUUGGCCAAAAUCCAGUCUCAACAUGAAGAUGACUUGGUAGAAGUUAAAUUUAAAUGCCCAACAUAUGUCACGUUAUCGGUGAGAACAAAGGUCUUUGCAGAUAAUGAAAAGCGAUUUCCUUUAACGUUUCUGAUGUAAUUUUACUGCCGAAUUUGGAAUAUGAACUAUGAAAUUAAAUGACGGAUUCCCUAUUCCAAAACACCAUUAUUUUAGCUUAGCCCUCGUUUACACGCCAGUACUAGCAUCGAAAUUGACCGGAAGCCAGAGGCAGCCUCCACCUGGGAAAUAAAAAACGAAACGGAAAUGUUUGUGCAGCGCAGAAAUUUAAAAUAAAUAUUUGAAUUUUUCGAAACGUCGACACACGGGGGUUCACGGGUAUGCCAUUUCCAUUUGCAGUCCACGGUUUUCCCCACGUCUAACGUGAAUGCAAUUUUUGGCCUGGCUUUCGUUUUAACUUUGGCUGCCAUAAAUUGCACCAAAGUGCAGCUGCCCCGCCGGCAUGUAUUUAUUUAAAAGUGCUAAAAUAUUUGCAAAACGCUUCACAAUUGCAUUUUGCCCAGCACCGAUCACCAUUUCAUCCGCAUCCUUUCUACCACCUGCCGUGGGCGAGGAAUAUUUGGUGUGUGAACGCAAGAAACUAUGUAUGUGAGGAAAGGGCUGCGACGAGGAAGUGACUUUUUUGCCAGGACUAAAGGACCAGACUAACUGCUGAUGGCGGGCCACGUACACAUGUCGAAAACUAACUGCUGCCACCGCUGUCCUAGCCGCCGCUCCUCCCAUUCGACCCGUCGUCCCUUUCCGCCCUUCACCCUUCGGUCCUCGUCAUCAUCAGGAGCUGCAAAAAUUUCAGCCAUUUGUCCUGCAUGCUUGCGGCAUAAAAAUAUGCCAGGGCCAGCAUUUUCAUGCGGGUCAUCUCCUUGGAACUCCGAGCUCCCAGCUCCCAGCUCCAAACUCCCAAGCUCCAACUCCGAUUCCGGCUCCAAAUGCAGCUGCAGCGCCCGAAAGUCAGGCUACGUGUGUGUCUGUGCCCCAGAGAGUUUUCGGGUUUUUUUCGAGGCCGGCCUCUCAACUGCUGCAACUUUUUGGGGCAGGGCAAAAAUCACACAGAACUGGGCACAAAUAAAACUACUCCGAGGACUGCUAGUCCUCCUAGUGCUCCUACUGCUCCUAGUUGGCUGGAAAAUAACAAAGGGGCGAACGGACGGGGCGUUUAGCAAAUGGACUCUGGCCGAAAAUGCUGCUGGCACUUUCGCAAAACAUUCCGAAUACAAAUAAAAAUCCGAGGCAUGUGAGUCACAGCAGCAAUCAUUUCCAAUGCAAAAUAAAA